rnacentral:misc_RNA from 1 species
GAUGAAGAACGUAGCGAAAUGCGAUACUUGGUGUGAAUUGCAGAAUCCCGUGAACCAUCGAGUCUUUGAACGCAAGUUGCGCCCGAAGCCAUCAGGUUGAGGGCACGUCUGUCUGGGCGUCACAUAUCGUUGCCCAAUGCCUAUUGCAGUGCAAUAGGAAUUUCUAGGGCGAAUGAUGGCUUCCCGUGAGCGUUGUUGCCUCGCGGUUGGUUGAAAAUCGAGUCCUUGGUAGGGUGUGCCAUGGUAGAUGGUGGUCGAGUUAGAACGAUACCGAUCAUGUGCAUGCUCCCCAAAAUAUGGCCUCUAUGACCCACACGCGUCUUUUGACGCUCAUGACGAGACCUCAGGUCAGGCGGGGCUACCCGCUGAAUUUAAGCAUAUCAAUAAGCGGAGGA